CACAAAAGCGCUUAUCCCGCGAGAGGCAGAUUUAUUUUCCCCAAAUUUUCGGUGAGAAAUAUCCUUAUUUGUUUUCCCUCUCUUUUCCUCCCUUAUUUUCGGCAACCCAGCAUUUCAACUUCUCUGACCCCUAAUUUCUCCUUUUCCGGCACCAUUCACACCGCUCUUGCUCCAUUUCUCACCGUACAAUUCCCCUCUAAACACCAAAUCCUUACUGCUCCAACAUUCAAAUCCUUGAAAACUUUCACCAAUCACUUUUCAUUCUUCAAAAAAUCUAGCAGAUUUUAGAUAAACUCUGAACCCUAAUUUCCCAAAGUUGAUUCCACAUUAGGGUUUCUCAUGUCAGGUGGGUUAAGCCCAACACACCACGUCAUAGUUCAAGCUCUCUUGUCACGAGGUCCACUCAAGGAGAAAGACCUACAUUCCAUGUUUGAGGACCUCACUAAGAAAAGUCCAGGCACUGACCGUCGGCUAUUUGAUGCAUUUAUUCUGGCAAUAAACAAGGCUCUAACUUGUGCUAAUUUUGAGUUACGUGCCUGCAUUGAUCAAUAUGAUGGCCAUGUUUAUUAUGGAGUUGUUAAUACUGUUUCCGAUGAACAAUCAAAGCUCGGGACCAAGUAUACAGUUCCGCAGAUUGCUUUUUAUAAGGCUAUUAUUGAAGCAAUAGUUCAAGAUGACACGGCAAAUGAGAUGGUGGUGAAAUAUCUACACGGGAUUGGCAAAAAAUGGUUCAAGCUUUGCCCCAAUACACUGAGCAAGUAGAAAAGAUUUCACUCCAUGUAGAGGUGAUUGAAUUCUACAUGGUUCAUGAAUUCUACAAAUUAUGUUUCUUUACUAGGUUUAUGAUUUUAAAAUAUGCUUGAUAUUCCUGCUUUUCCUGACUCCGAAACCAGUAAAGAUGUUCAAAUUCUGAUCAGAUUCAUGUUCUUUAGAAGAUUGGUAGCAAAAAUUGACUGAAUUAAACUUCUGCGACUGUGCUAAGCUCUGAAUUGCAAGAUAUUCAUGUCUUAUUUUGAAAACUAUCUCUGUAUAUGGGGUAUGGAUCUCUUUGUUUAUAGCUGCAUCAUAAAUAAAUUUGGAUGAGGCGUCUACGACUCAGGAAAAAUUGGCAAAACUAUCACCCGAUGACAUGAAAGUUAUCAGUAAUAUGCAACUGCUGGCGGGAUCAUCAACAAAGAAGGCAUCUGCUGCUGCUGGUGCUU